GACAUUCACUUGUCUUGUUGAAAGGUAAAUGCGUAACAGAAGUGCUCUUUUACUAGCAGUUACACUGUUGUAAUGCGGAGACGCUGUUUCAUUAUGAUUUAUAUGUCCAUUUAAUUCAAUAUACUUGAGGAAUUAGUUUUGUUAGUGAAAGAUAUAACUCAAAUUUACCUUAUGUGAAACAUGACCAAGAAGCAGAUCAACAAGGAGGAUUUUUUUUUUUUUGGCAAAA
rnacentral:misc_RNA from 1 species